GCUCGGCGAUGUCAGAGUUAGAGGUGGCCUACUUGGUGUGGGAGGACGUCCAAGAUCAGGCUCAGCCGUGUUCCACGGACCCAGGAGGUUAGUUGCCCUCUUUUGAGCUUUUUUUACUUUUCUUCUGCUCUUUCAUUUUCUUUUUACCCAGUGGUCUUCCUUAGACCCCCCUCUUACAGUGCCUUUCCUCUAAUCAAAUGAUGGAGAUAGACCAUCUUUUUCUAUAAAAAUAAUUAGAGUCCAAAUUAUAUGGUCAUACUCACAUCGUGGACUUGAUAAGCGUCGAAUACGAUUGUGGCAAGAAAUUCA
rnacentral:lncRNA from 1 species